rnacentral:rRNA from 1 species
UAGGGAAUAUUGGACAAUGGGCGCAAGCCUGAUCCAGCCAUGCCGCGUGAGUGAAGAAGGCCCUCGGGUUGUAAAGCUCUUUUGUCCGGAAAGAAAAGCGCCGGGUUAAUACCCUGGUGUCCUGACGGUACCGGAAGAAUAGGCACC